AGCGAACGCUGGCGGCAGGCCUAACACAUGCAAGUCGAACGAACCUUUCGGGGUUAGUGGCGGACGGGUGAGUAACACGUGGGAACGUGCCUUUAGGUUCGGAAUAACUCAGGGAAACUUGUGCUAAUACCGAAUGUGCCCUUCGGGGGAAAGAUUUAUCGCCUUUAGAGCGGCCCGCGUCUGAUUAGCUAGUUGGUUGAGGUAAUGGCUCACCAAGGCGACGAUCAGUAGCUGGUCUGAGAGGAUGAUCAGCCACAUUGGGACUGAGACACGGCCCAAAGGCCGGUGGGUGGCAGCGGGGGGGAAGUUUGGAGACUGGGCGAAAGCCGGAUCAAGCACUGCCGCUGGAGGUAAGAAGGCCGUCGGGCUGUAAACCGCUCUGGGCAGGAACGAAACGGAGUCCGCUAAUACCGGCCGCGAAUGACGGUACCUGCAGAAUAAGCACCGGCUAACUACGUG
rnacentral:rRNA from 1 species